CACGAGGCUAGAGUCACGCCGUUACAAACUCAUUGUCCUGGUGUGCUAGAGUGCUCGUAGAGUAAAUAUCUUUGCCUAUUCAUUGGCUGUAGUCUCUUGUGGCCCAGUCAAUCACCAGCUCAGAUACAGAA
ensembl:snoRNA